UCUCCGUUGGUGAACCAGCGGAGGGAUCAUUACCGAGUUAUCAACUCCCAAACCCCUGUGAACAUACCCGACGUUGCAUCGGCGGGACCGCCCCGGCGCCCUCGGCGGCCCGGAACCAGGCGCCCGCCGGAGGACCCAAACUCUUGUUUAAUCUAUAGUGGCAUAUCCUGAGUGUCACAAGAAAAAUGAAUCAAAACUUUCAACAACGGAUCUCUUGGCUCUG
rnacentral:misc_RNA from 1 species